GAGGGCUGAAGGGAAUCACGCCUAUAAGCGGGCCCUGCCAGGACCUAACAUUUUCCCUUCUCCAGCCACAGUAAAAAUAAAUGCUCCUGCCAUUAAUAGGACUAGACCUUGCCUGCCAAUGAACACAUCUGCAGAGGAGCCACCUGGAGGGACAAAUACACAAGGACUUGUCAGCUAUCCACCUGCCAGACUACUUCUCUUAAAGGCCCUGUGGGAAGCCCUCACAUACCACCCAGAAGAGAACCUGCUGAGUUCUGUGUGGCAGAAAGCAGGCAGGAAAGAAUUUGAGAGCAAGCCAUAGUAAAGUGAAAGAUUUAUUCAUGGAGAUGCACACUUCAUAAAGUGUGGGCCAUCUUAGAAGACAAGGCCACCAUUCAGUAACCUUGAGAACCAUUAAACCCAUCACAAGACCACCUGAUGCCAGAUGAUUGAAGGAAUGAAGGCCCUGCAUGCACCCUGAUCCUUAUCAGCACCUCUGCCUCUUGACUACAAGACUCCUCACAAUCCACUUAUUCCACCCCCGGUUGGGACAUACAGUUUUGAGGGCAUUAGCCUGCUGCAGCCCCCUUUGCCUGGCAAAGCAAUAAAACUAUUCGUUUCUAUGUCAUCCAAAA
ensembl:lncRNA